AGCAGUCGCCGCGGGAAUACGUAGGGUGCAAGCGUUAAUCGGAAUUACUGGGCGCAAAGCGUGCGCAGGCGGUUAUAUAAGUCAGAUGUGAAAUCCCCGGGCUCAACCUGGGAACUGCAUUUGAGACUGUAUGGCUAGAGUGUGUCAGAAGGGGGGUAGAAUUCCACGUGUAGCAGUGAAAUGCGUAGAUAUGUGGAGGAAUACCGAUGGCGAAGGCAGCCCCCUGGGAUAACACUGACGCUCAUGCACGAAAGCGUGGGGAGCAAACAGGAUUAGAUACCCGUGUAGUCCCUGUCUCUUAUA
rnacentral:rRNA from 1 species